rnacentral:lncRNA from 1 species
GUCCCCCUGACCUCCCCCAAUAGAAUAUUAACGACACCAUGGAUGAAUGAAUGGAAGAAAAGAGAAAACGGAAUGAACAGAUGCAUCUGAAGCUACAAAGACUGCUGGAGACCCAAAGAUUCUCAUGAACAGCAAAAUUUAUUGGGUGAAGAGGGACUGGAAGUGGGAAGUAGUCAUACAGAAACCAGUAAGGAAAAACUGCAGAACGAGAUGCAGUCCGAGAACUCGAUGGAUUCUUCUAGGUGGAUGGAGACAUGAAAAAUUUGGAAACCUUGGGCACUACCUUGAGAACAUUAAGCCCAUCGGCGCCCACGGAGAAUAACUCCAGCUCCUUUUUCUCCGCGGCAUCCAUGGGGCCUUAUUUGCAUGGCCAGGUUGGCGGCUGCUUCUGCUGGGUCUGGUGACAGACUGGGACGCCCUUGCCACCCCCAGAGCCGCCGCCAGAGCCACCUCCGCAGCUCGAGCCGCCGCCGCCCCCGGAGGAGCCCCCACCACAGCUCGAGCCACCUCCGGAGGAGCCGACGGCGUAGCUCUGGCACUGGUAGUGCUGGCCAGAGGAGCCCCCGCCGCAGCUGGAGCCGCCACCUCCGGAGCCACCGCCGCAACCAGAACCGCCCCCGGAGGAGCCGCCGUAGCUCUGGCACUGGUAACUCUGGCCGGAGGAGCCGCCGCCGCAGCUAGAGCCGCCACCGGAGUAGCCGCCUCCGCAACCGGAACCGCCGCCGGAGGAGCCACCGCCGGAGCUCUGGCAUUGGUAGACCUGGCCGGAAGAGCCGCCGCCGCCGCAGCUGGAGCCGCCCCCGCCCCCGGAGCCGCCGCCACAGCUGGAGCCACCGCCUGAGGAGUAGCAGAUGUCGCCCCCGGAAGAGCCGCUGCCGUAGGUCUGGUAACACUGGCCGGAAGAGCCGCCGCCACAGCUGGAGCCGCCCCCGCCCCCGGAGCCGCCGCCACAGCUGGAGCCACCGCCUGAGGAGUAGCAGAUGUCGCCCCCGGAAGAGCCGCUGCCGUAGGUCUGGUAACACUGGCCGGAAGAGCCGCCGCCACAGCUGGAGCCGCCACCGCCCCCGGAGCCGCCGCCGCAGUCGGAGCCGCCGCCGCCCGAGUAGCCACAGCUGCCGCCCCCGGAGGAGCCGCCGCCGCCACUUGAGUACUUAACUCCUCCUCCGGAGCCACCGCCGCCUCCGCAGCCGGAGCCGCCGCCGCCGGAGUAGCCGACCACGCAGCUGGAGCCGCCCCCGCCGCCACCUGAGUACUUGACGGCUCCUCCGGAGCCACCGCCGCCUCCGCAGCCCGAGCCGCCGCCGCUGGAGUAGCAGCCCCCACAGCUAGAGCCUCCGCCUCCACCGCCGCCGCAGCUGGAGCCACCGCCGCCAGAGUACUUGACGCCUCCUCCGGAGCCACCGCCGCCCCCGCAGCUGGAGCCGCCGCCGCCGCCGCCGCCACCUGAGUACUUGAUGGCUCCUCCGGAGCCCCCGCCGCCCCCGCAGCUAGAGCCUCCGCCUCCACCGCCGCCGCAGCCGGAGCCACCGCCGCCUCCACCGCCAGAGGUCUUGCAAACCACUGGAGGGUAGGGGGUGGGCUGCUUUUUCUGGUGAGACAUCUUGUCUAAGGAGGAAGGAGACCCUGAAAAGAGAGCGGAAAAGCAUCACUGGACCAGCCGCAAGAGGGUGCUGCGAUAGUAAAAUCCUCCCUGCUCGGAGUGCAGCCUGCUGGGUUAGGCGCCAAGGUCUUUUCAGGAGCGCCAACUCAGCUGGGAUUGCUACUUUUGGAAAGGAGUCGAUUCCUCUCUCAGAAAAUCCUGGCCAAGUUGAAAUACCCGAGUGGAUGGAACCAACCCUCUCUCCAAGCUGUUUGACCUCAGUGGUGCUUUUAGGGCAGAUCACCCACUUUGGUAGUUUGAACACUUGUUUCUUAGGCCUCUUCCAGUCCCAACACUAAUUCUCCGAGUUCAAAUAGAAAAUUAUCACAAAUCUCUACUUAGCAUGGGGGAUUUUGCCAUUUCUAGCACAAUCUAGGGAGGUUUGUUGGGAUAGCAGAGGACUAUUACAUCUCUUCUUUUUUUUUUUUGCAAAAUCUUGAGUUCAAACUCUUUCCGUGUCCCACAGAGUGAAGCUAUGACUCAAUGGUUAGUUAUUAAUAAAGACAAGGUCUUCCUUGGCCUUUUCUUGGCACAGGGAGAAGGACUCAGAUGGUUCUUUGGGCCAGCACCUCCUACCAGAUUUCUGUAUAUCAGAUAUCUCUUUUGUGAUAUGCUGAAGCUUGGUAGAGGGAACUAUAACUAAUAGGAAGUUGAAUCCUAGCCCCUUGCAAGUCAUUUCUCAUUCACACUGUCUGCAGAAUUUGGCUUUUUGUGGCUCCUAAAAUACCUCUCCUCUGCAACAUUCUCUGAAUCAUUCUCAGUAUUCUCUAACCCUUGGCUUAGCUCCUCCUGACAGUUUUAUGAGGUCAGCCAGCCCAUGUACUGCAAGGGCUGCCUUGGACAGCCACUGCAGCAUUCCUGUGUCUAGCAGAAUUACACCCCCCUACAGGUGUGCUAGAGAGGUAGGAAACAAUCUUGGGUUGGUAGAGUUUACAUUCUGGGCAGAAGACCAAGCAACUCUGCACCCCAUCCCUUUCCUGACUCCCCUCUUAGUAUGAGUGCAGUACAGAGGGAAGAUAGAUGUCCUCUAACUUCUACAGGUGAGAGAGACCCCCCAUGCACUGAAAGCCAGCUGAGAAGAUGAGAGCCAGUAAAUCCCCACUUACCCAAAACACCAGGGAGGGUGAGUGAGGAGAGGAGAUGCUGGUGAUGUGAGAAGCACUGGAACUGAUGAGGUUUUAUACUCUACCUGUCCUGACUCAUCUAUUGAUCAGGCCAGCCUCUUGUGUUUGAGCUUGCUCACGUGACCCAUAGCUGUCAGCCCCACCUCCAUGAGAUUACAUGCACAGGUUGGCCCAUUCAUGAAGAUUUUGGCAUUCUUGAGAUGGGCAGCUUAGUGUAUGACUGGCUUCUUCUCUGAUGCAACUGUGGAGCAGGCUGGUCAGUUGGGAUGGCCAGCCAGAGUGGAUGGCAGACAUUGUUUCCAGAACCUCUGGCAUGGGGCACAUGCCAUAACUAGCAUAGGUCCCAGAUGUGUGAGGCAGCCUAUGAGAAUCAAACUAGAGAUCUCAGUCCUUGGUCCAAGGAGUAAGACUUUUCAAACCCCACUGUAUGGCUUCUGAUCUUAUUGGUCUGGAAACCUUGAAACUUUAGAAUCUGUUCCUCUUUUGCCAAAACUUCUCUCCUGGGUUUCAUGAGAGCUUUACUGGAAUGUUUCUGUUCUGCCCACUGGGUGGCAAGGGUCCAUGAGCCCCAGCUCCCAGUUCUGGACUGCACGUCAUGGACAGCGCUGUAACUAAGAUGACACCCGGGCCUACUUCAAAUUGUCCGUGGAGAUAGCAAGCAUAGGAUCCAGUAUUGACUUUCUUUUCAGAGGUGUGCACUAAAGAGGUGGACCAUGUAGUCCUUUCUGCCAUGGCCCUUUGACUUCAGUGUCUUGUGGCAAUGCUGAUGUCAGCCAGGGGGCCAGCCAUGGAAUGCAAUAGACUUGAGGUUACAUGACUGGGUUUGGGUUCUCCCUUUGCUAGUCAGCUGUGUCACUUUGGGCUAGCUCUUUAUACAGUGCCUGCACAUAGGCACUGGACAAGUAUUUGUUGAUUGUUGAAUGGUCAAGCUUUGUGACCGUCAGUUUGUUGUCUACUAAGUAGGAAUAGUAGCUCCUAUUUUGCAGGCAUGUGGAGAGGGGAUGGUUCUUUAAUGUGUAGAAGGCGACACUGUCUUCUGUUGUUGUGUCACAUAACAGCACAUCCUUACUUUCACCCUCACUUGCCCUUGGAUACGAAAGCCCAGAAGGAGUCCAUGAAUGGUUUGAGACAAGCUCAAGUCUUCUCCUAGGAGAUUAACUCAAGACUUCUCUGUUGACUGCGCUGGCAGCAUCACUUCUGUGUCUGUAGAGCAGCAAGCUCUCCCUUCUUUCGUCAUUGGAACUCAGUUAUUAUUUAAGAUAUCACAUUCAAACUUUAUUCCACCCAGCUGUUGAAACAACUGCUCCAAUAAGAAAUGGACUUCAUUAUGGUGGAGUUUUAAUGAUCCAAAUGAUCCUGAUUAGAUGUGGCUUUCAGAAACUCGUGGCACUGGUUUCAGUUUGGAUAGCAAGAACUCAGCUGAAGCCAGGUGUUCCUCUCCUUCAAGAACACCCAGGAGAGAGAGGCCAAAAUCUAGGUUUCUCCGUUUGAAUUUGAGGCACCAUGGAGGUUUUAGAGGGAAACAAUCUCAUGGAUAGAAAAGAACCAUUUAUACGAGCCACAUGGGAGAGGGGGACUGUGGAUCCCACACUGAUCUAUGGCCCAGUUUAAGCCAUUACCAUGUGUUCAUCAGUCCUUAGUAAAAGCCUAACUACAAGGAUGUUGGUAGAGCAUCCAUGGGAAGGAAAGUCAUGUGUUAAAAUAGAAUUUCUUACAGAAGCGGUGACGAGGCUGCAGUGGUUUCUUUCCUACCCUGAUAUGUCAAAAUGACACAUUUUUUGAGGGAUUCAUUACUUCUCCACAGAAUUCUAAAAUUUGGGACCCUCAAACACAGAUGGCCCCAAACAGCUAAUAAUCUUUAGGUAUCCAUUUAAACAUUUUUUAUUAAUCGACACAUGCUAGUUGUAUGUAUGGGAAUUUGACGCAUUCAUGUAGUGUGAUCACAUCAGGGUGAUUAGCAUUUUUGUGCGGGAACUUUUAGCUCCUGUUUCACUAUUUCAGCAUACAUAAUAAAUUAUUAUAAAUGAUAGUUACCCUACUAUGCUAUAAGAUGCUAAAAUAUUCUUCCUGUCUAACUGUAUUUCUAUACCUAUUAUCUCCUUUCCUCUCUCUUCUCACUUAGCAUUUGUCUUUGUGUGUCUUAUUUCACUUAACAUAAUGUCCUCCAGUUUCAUCCAUGGUGUCCAGAAUGACAGGAUUUCAUUUUUGCAUGUUGGCUUUGGGGGCUUAUGUUUUUCUAAGAAUAGUAGGGUAUUUUCUUUCUUUUUUCUGUCAGUUUUAAGGCGUUUUUAGAGGAAAGAUCCAUAUUUAAAGCUUUACUCACUGAUCCAGCCAACACAAGCAUGCUGGGCGCUAUGCUAAGCAUUAGAGAAGAGUCAGUACCAAAUCUCGUGCCUGUCAGCCUGCACUAACCUUGCAUAUUUUCUGAUUUGUCCCUUUAGAUCAGAAGUAGUCCUGCGGGGCUGUGUGGACAGUAACUGAUUUUAUCACAUCAGUUAGGAAAUGAUGGGCCAUUGUAGAAUGAUAACACAUGGGUGUGUGAGGUUUUGUAAGACUUGGUAUGCCAGAUUUUUAAGAUUCACAGCCUUUAUGUAUUUAACCCUGAAAUGUGUGCUUGCUAGUAUGUCUGGCUUGCACUGCAUUACAGAUUAGGACAUGGUUCUGUGACUGUACCUAUAUCUGUAGAGGGGACAGAUCAUUGGAGCAAAGGUAUGAAGUACCUCUGUGGUACUAGGCAUUAAUACGUGCUAGUGAAUGCUGUUGGAAUUGAAGGGAAUUUUGAGACCUAUUAACUGACAGUGGAAUGAUGAUCCUUUCAGAUGAUUAGAAGUGGAAGGUUUAGCUUGAAACUACAGAUUCAACGCAGCUGUUGUGUAAGUGAACAGACCCUGUGCAGGGAAUCCAGGGACACCUAUAAAAGUGACAUUGGCUAGUAGAAUUUCAUUGUGUUUCCUUUGACAGUUCUCUCAGUAUCUGUCUGAUGGGCAGGCCCCAUAUAGGAGGGGCGCGUGUGUGUGUGUGUGUGUGUGUGUGUGUGUGUGUAUGUGUGUGUGAAGUGUGAAUGAUGGUAAUUCCAUGUUUCCCUGAAAAUAACCCUAAAAUAAACUCUGGUCAUUACCAUGUUGAUGAUGUGUCAUGCAGAAAAUUGUGCCUCACUAUUCUCUUGCUCAGUGGCUACUUCGUAAUGGCAAGUAAGGCAAGAGGAUUGGAACUGGAAUUUUUGUUCUCUAGUUCACAAGGCUGCUUAUUUUCCAGUUAGGUCUUCUUUUCUGGGAAACGGUUCCCAGAAAGUUGUGGCACUCUGUGGUUUAAAGGACACAUCGAGGCUUAUCUGUAACCAUAGACUCAACUUCCUGUACAUACAGGCAUCCUUGGCGCAGGAGAGGAGGGAAGGAGAUGAUGUGAGGAUGUCCAGCUCCAGCUCAGUGCUGCAGUCCCACCACCUUCACAAGCUGUUGGAGGGGCUGUGGGAAAGGAGGGAACAGAAGGCUGCCUUUCUGGCCUGAGGUACAUGAUGCCUGCCCUUCUGGGCCCCACAGUGACACAGGAUUACAGCUCCUGAUUUUGGGGAGCUUUGGUCUGAUGCAAGCCUGAUAACCUUCAAGUAGCCAAAACCAUGCACUUUUCAUGUAGCUGAAGUUAAAAGGGCAACAGGUGAUUUGUAAAGAGUAUGCGCAGACCAGGGCCUUGGAAGCUUGGCAGGAUGGGACUGAAACUUUGGAAGCCCUUUACACUUCAUGGAAUGGAAAGUAUUUUCUUCUACUGUCCUGGCCCAGGAAGUAUAAGAUGGCCUCUGGAGCUGCUACUUCCCUCCUCUCUAGCCUCCUGGCCAACAGUUUGAAGAGGUCCUCUUAGACCUGCCAGUGUGAGUGGGAAUAAGGUGACAGUGGAGGUUUUGUAGCUGAGCCCAGCAAGCCGAAGGAAGCUGCUGACCUUCGUACACUAGCCUCUGGACCUGGAAGUAAACUGCUGAUGUGGCACAUCCCAGCUUUCACAGCUCCUGAACCUGUUGAAGUCAAGUAGAUGACUUGAGGAGCAAGCCUUCCCACUGCUUAAAAAAAUUCCCCCUCCAGGAUCUCUUCCCCGACUGACUGGGAGAGCACCUCGUCUUGCAGCACAGUGAUCUUGGUUCCCACUAGACUGAUCUCUCCUAUGAGGAGUAACUAGGUCUCGUUCACUGUUUUGCAUCUCAAGAACCCAACACAAUUCCCAGCAUAGCCCUCCGUGAGUGCUGGUGGUUGACUGAAUGAACGUCUUCCCACUUCUGGAUUGUUAGUGACCUAGCUUUCGAUGUUGUGGUCUAUUUUUACCACCCCAGUGAGACUGUUUGCUUCAGGAGGGCAGGGAUGGCACUCCAACUUUUAAUAAGCCUGGAACCCAAGUACACAUGAGGCAGUGAGUCAGUGUGUAUUGAAAGAAAAGAUGAAAGAAUGGAGCAGAAGAAUGGAGGGAAGGAGAGAGAAAAGGAAGGUAGAAAGGAUAGAAUAUUUUCAUCCAGAUUUAUAAUGAUGGUGGUUUGAGUCUAAUGAGAUUAAUAUCUUUCCCCGUAACCAACUCUGAGAACUGAUCUCAUUUGAGCAACUCCAACAGGUUUCAAUGCUUGUUUAGUCCAGAAAAAGGGGAGAUAAGUGAGACUGCAUUUUAGAAGUUUUAAAGUAGGUAUCUGAUGCACAGAUUUCUAAAUUACUGUUUUGAACACGAUUGUAAUAUGCGUAUCUGACUAAGUUAUUAUGACAUUUAAUUAUACUCCAUGAUUAAUUAGGAUAUUUUACUCCACGUAAUCCCUGUUGUAUCCUGUAUGGAUUAUAGAAGAGUUACAUACAGUGAAGUAUGCUUGCUGCUAGUGAACCAAGAACUUUUCCUAGUCUAGAAUCUAAGCAUUGCUUUUAAUGUGCGUUAGGAUGUGUGAAGUAUGUACCUAUGCCUGUCACAUGUGUGAUGCAUGUACUUAUGUCUGUAUAUGUGUGCUCAGAUUUAUGAUUUUGUGGAUAUUACUGCUUAGGAUGACGGAAAAAGGUAACAGUCAUUAAUAUGUCUUUUAAAAUUUGGCUAAGUAAAACUAGUUGAUUUAGAAAAAAUAUUAAAUAAAUUGCAAUAUGGGUGGUGCAUAGAUGUGGGAGAAACCGUGGAGGAGGUAUGUGGACUCGGAAGGGCUAGAAAACAGUAGAGGAAAGCAUAGACACUGCUGUCGCCCUGUUGGCAACUCCCAGCAUCCUCCUGGGAAAUGCAGACUCUGGGUGUAGGAUCCCUGGCCCUGUGUCAGCUAAGGGCAGGAAGGAGGCCACGAAGUGUGAGAGCUUGUCCAUCUCUCUGCCGAAGCACGCCCCUGGACAGGCCAGCCCAAGGCUCAGGAGCUGACCCAGAGCACCUUUGGAGGAGGGCAGCAGCAUGCUGUGAAGUUGGCAGCGUCUCCUCGGAGCCCCUGAGCGUUCCUACAGUGACCUCAGCCUCUUCUGUUCUGCCUCCAGCUCAUUCUUAGAAAAGGCUCCUGGGCUCUGAGAAAAUUCUGAUGAACUUAAUUGGUGUCAGGAAAAUUGAAAUGGAAGCCGAUUGCCAACUGUGGGACCAUGUGAUGUUACCUAAUCUUUGUUAACCUAUGUAUUCAUGUGUGAAAGAGGUUUGAUUCAUUACAUUUUGAUGAUGUUAUGAGGAUUAAACAGGCUCUGUUAUGUGAGAAAGCUACUGGAAACAAAAAACUCGGUGUUUGAUUAAACUUCAAAGAAAGAUUGUUUUCUUAGGGUGUGGAAAGCGAUGGCAGUUCAGGGUAGAUCUCCACCCCAGGAGCACACAGUGUGUAAGGGUCAGAAUUAUAGCUGAAAGCAUGAAUGAAGCUUCAUGUCGCAUGUUGGGGUGGGAGGCUGGGGAUUGUCUCUGAUGGAUUUGUCUUCUCUUUGCUUAUGUUGUAUUGGGGGUCUGGCUAGUCUCGUCUGUUUUGUUCAGUUCUUUCCCACUUUCUUCUCUGAGUCUCAGUGCUGUUAUUGCCAAUGACAACAAUAUCUGUUGUUGAGCACAUGUGAUGUGCUAAGCACCAUGUUCAGUGCUCCCCGUGUGUCACUUCAUUUGUGUAUCACUACACUCUCUGGUGCUUUGUCUACAUUUUAUAGAUGACAAGAGUGAGAUGUGAGGAACACAAAACACUUGCUGAGGUCACACACUCGGAAGUAACUCCGCCAGGGCUGCAGGCAGGUGUUUUUGUUUGUUGCAGUUUGACUCCAAAACACAUGCUUUUAAACAGUUUUAAUGUCCAGUCUCACGAUUCUGUAUCAAUGUCAGCAUCAUAAAGUAUUUCCUGAGAGCAUUUAGUUGUCAAUAAGAGAGACAAAACAGAUGAAACCCUCCUCUCCCCGUGGAACAGGCAUUCUCACUGAAUGGCUCAAGGACUGAUUUUAUGCCUUGCUGGGCAGCUUGCCCCACACUGUCCGUCUUACUUUCCAUAUUUAUACAAGAGUGGACUGGGAUAGCUGAUCUCCAGAUUGGGUCCCUUCAGCAGGAGAUGCUUAGGCUUCGUGAUACCUGCUCAGCCUUGGAUGGGAAGGUGGUUCUCAGCCAAGCCAUAUAUAAUUUCUCCCAUGAAACUUCUUCUGACAAUAGGUUAUGAGUCCCUUUUCUGUGGCCCUUGUUAUUCUGAGCUUAACUUUUAAAAAAAGUACAAAACUCCUCACUUUCCAGAUUAUGUUUACAUUAUGUGUUACGUGUCCAUCUCCCUUGCUGGUCUAAAAACUCACUGAGGAUAGGACCGAAGCUCGUUUAUCAUGAACCUCUAGCACUUAGCUCAGUGUCCAUCAAAUGGUGGUCCCUGUAAGUGUAGGCUACAUAAACGCAGGGGGAGCGUCCUAUCCAAGGUGACUGUACCCAGUUAGGAUUAGGUGACCAGGUUUUUGAGAGAAGAGGGAGAAGCUGAGAAAAGUGAUAAUUACAGGAGAUGCUUGGCAUUUACACUCCUAGGAGGAGGCUGUUCUUUUACUGGAGGAUGAGCUUGUCCUGAGGAGAAGGCCAUCCAGUCCAACCUGGGAGCCCUUGGUGGCACAACCAUCACUAUCAUCAUUGGAGGGAGUGCUGGUUGUGGUCAGGGCACAUAGAUGCCACACUUUUAAGCCGCAUCCUUACUCAGCAUAGUGUCACACCUGGAAACCAAAUAAAACCCAGAGGAAGGCAUGGAGGAAGGAAUAAGAGCAGGCUGACCUUACUUGCUGCUCCCACUGUGCUUAAUCCCUAGUCAAUUAAAUAUGAGACAGUGCAGGUAAUUCAGCCAAGACCUUGGGUGAUGGAUAUGGAAUUAAUCUGCUUUGAGUCCAAAUUACCUGUUUUUGCUGGAAUGAGUUUCAGAAAUGCCACUGAGUUCUGGGGAGGCCAUAAAUGUUGUGAUUACUGUGUGCUUAGACAGACUGUUGUAGACACACUGAUUUAAAAAAAAAAAAAUUGCUUUGUUUUCUGAGCCUAGUUGCGUACUUUGUGGCAUGGCAGGCCAAAUGUCCCUUGGCAGGGAGGGCUCAGGUCCGUGGGAGUGCUGGGGUGGGUAUGACCAGUGGAGCCUUGCCACCUCCCCUGGAAUGCAGCUCACACUCCUCCUUGAUGGCCUUCCCAUGAAGGACAGGCCUGCGCAAAGCUUUCUGAGGUUGGUGAAGAGAGCUUACUUUGGUGCUUACUUGGGAGCUUUGGCGCUUUGGAGCUUACUUACUCCCCUCUCAUUGUUCCUUCAAGUGCAGGCAGGAAGUUACCAUCCUGCAGAAAUCCAAAAUGGAAUAGACAUGGAAGGAUGAGAUUCAGAACAAAGUGCUGUGGGUGGGAAGGCGUAAGUGAAGUCCUGGAGGCCACCCAGCCUGGACAGUAUUGGUCUAUUUGCUGCCUUCAUUCUCACCUACUUUCUGUACUCUGCUCUCAGUCACCAGGUAACCACUUAGACCUAGAGUUGCUCUUUUUGCCCUCAACAUCUCUGUUUCCUUUAUUACCGAUGCCGUUGCCACCAUGUCUGUAUGACCAUUACUUUUAUUAUUACUGUACUCUAUUGCCAUCUCCUACAACAACAUCAUCUUGUCACUGUCCCCACUCCUACUGGUGUUGCUUCUGCUCAUUGUCGCUAUCAAUAGCAGUACCUCCAUCAGCCCCGUUACCUUCACCGCUGCCACCACCAGCACUGCCGUGGUCACAAGGACUACCAAAGACCCCUUCACUCAUUCUCACCAUUCUUACCAUCACGGCCUCCUCCACCACCACUACCACCUUCACCACAUUACUACCAUGAUCCAUUCUUAUCAUUACCACUGCUUCCACCACCACCAGCAUCCCUGUCACCAGUCAUUCUCAGCACUACCACUACCACAGCUAGAAUGGUGAAGAAAAGACUUAGGCCUAUAUUGCCCUCUUCACGUGAUGAAAGGGCUUCAGAGGAGUGGUUAAAUUACUUUGUAUUAAUAAAGAAGUUAGAAAAGGGGGCGGAAAUUUAAAAGCAAUUAUUACAUUUGAGUCAAUAGAAGCAAUCUCUUUCAUGGCACUAGGGAGGACAGUGGGGCAAGUCUGGGGCUAAAUGAUGAGUUUAAUUUGAAGUAUGUGGAGGAAUUUUUGUUGUUCUUUUUGCUUAUGGGGAACAUCAGCUGCGAUGAGCUUUCACUCCAAUCAUCCAAUCUCUCGCUGGUGUCUGAAUCCCCUCUGUAGAAUCCUUUAGGAGUAGAAAUUAAAGCCACCUUGUGUGUGUGUGUGUGUGUGUGUGUGUGUGUGUCCUUAGCUCAUUUAAUCCAGAAGUAGUUGGUUCCUUAUAUUUUUAUUUCAUAAGCUUUUAAUAAUGCUAUAAUAAUGGAUUACAUUGUGUUUUAAAAAUUUAAGACUUUUAAGGUUAGGGCAAAAUUCUUUCUGGUGGCCAUUCCCAUUCCUUGCUUCUUUCUUUCUUUCUUUCUUUCCUUCCUUCCUCCCUUCCUUCCUUCCUUCUUUCCUUCUUUCUUUCUUUCUUUCUUGUACCGGGGAUCGAACUCGGGUCCUUGUGCUUGUGGGGCAGGUGACAGAACCACUAAGCUAAAUCCCCGGCGCCCCCAUUCCUUCCUUCUUUAACUCCUCCACACAGACAAACUGUAUAAUUUGAUGUGAUAUUUUUUGUAGAAUAUUUUCUCACCUUUUUGUGUAUAUUUAUAAACAAUGUGAUAUUGUGCCCUGUGUAGAUUUUACCUGAAUAGUAUAAUAUUUUUUUCUGCCUCUUGCUUUUUUUUCCACUCAACAACAAAUAGGCACAAUAUGGCUAAAAGGGUGGUUCCUGGCUCCUGAGUGCCUGGAUUUGGAUUUCAGAUUUGUCACUUACCAGUUGUGUAACACUAUUUAACCUCCUUCAGUCUUUGUAGAUGGGUAUUAUAGCAUGUUCAUAUCCACUGUUUUCCUGUGAGGAUUAAAUGAAUUAAUUUAUAUAGGCACUUAGAACCAUGCCUGAAUAUAAUAUUGGCAGGUAUACAGUCACAUUCUUACUCAGAUUAUUCCUUAGUAAUUUCUAGAUUGGACACCCCACAGUUUAUUUAGCUCUCCCUAAAUUAUAUGUAUAUAUGCAUAUAUAUAUAUAAUAUGUGUUAUAUAUAAUAUAUAUGUUAUGUGUAUACAUAUAGAUCUGCUGCUCUGAGUUUCACUCUUGCAAACAAGGCCCAAGCAUAUUUUAAAUCUUACACAUGUGACUGGUAGUUACUUAAAGGUAGAUAAGUAAAAUUGCUGCAUUGCAUUCCUUCAAAAGGUUUAUUAGAAAAACACAUUUAUAAUGAGUAGAUACCUGUUCCCUGUUUCUUCCACCUGUUGGUUUUAUUUCUACCCCUUGACAGUCUGAGCCACACAGCAAAUUUUGUGGCAGAUGACCUUAGUGGUCAGGGCUAAUCACCUUAGGUUCAGAUGAACUUUGAGGGUGCAGGGAUCACAUUUUGGGGCCCUACUACAUACUGGACCCUCUACUAAGCAUUUUUAUAUAAUAAUUAAUUCAGUCACUAUAUUGUAGAUUCCAUGACUAUCUCUAUUUUAUUCAUGAAGAAAUGAAGGACAAAAAAGACACACAACUUCAAGUGGUAUAAAGUUGUGAAUAUUGUCAGUCCUUGUAUCAUGUUUAGUAUAUUAGUAUUCUCAUCACAUAGAAAACAUUCAACAAAUGUCAGUGUUAUUCCAGGAAUGACUGGUAAUUAUUAGGGUUAUAGAAUUGUUAUUAUUCCCACCAUCUCUGUUAUCCCCACAUUGUGAUGGAGCUCAUCUCUGAGAUAUGCAUUUGGUUUAUCUUAGAAAAAUGGAAAUGAAACCGUGGUUUCAAACCCUGCUUAACAAAUCUGCAGUAUUUGUUCUAUAGCUACAAAACACAUUCUUAAACUUUAAAGGACCUGCUGGCCAACUACGUAAUACGUUCAGUGUUCUCUCACACAUAAGAUAAAUGAAUAUGUACUUGAAUGCAAAUGAAAAUAUAUAAACAUUCAUUUGUGAGGAAAAAGAAAUUGGUAGAUGAGGGGUUGAGUUAUCUGGAUGUCCAGGAAAUAGGUUAAAGGAGAAAGGCUUGGAUCUGAGACUGGAUGAGAGUUUGAGAUGGUAGUCCUGGAGGUAGACUGGAAAGGAAUGUCCUUUUGAUUCAAAAAAAUGUGCUGGAGUAAGACAGACAGACAGCCUUCAUUGAUUCAUUGUGACAGAAGCUGGAGAUACAAAGAUGAGGAAGACGUAGCCCCUGACCCAAGGAACUCUCCUUGUGCUGUGGAGAGAUGUCGGUGUAAAUGAAGGUGGUAAGACAAGAUGAUGUUCAUGAACACACUCUGGGAGUGCUAGAAAAGUGAGAAGGGGCACCAAGGGCUUCUUCCUUCUGUGGAGAUGAAUGCUUAAGUCAGAAUCCUUUAAAAUAUGUAAGAGGGCCAGAACAGGCCAGGGAGGAGUGAGGAGAGGGGAGAGCGUGUACACAGGUGUGGGGUGGCACUGGGCACCUGUACAGCAUCGUAUGGAUUUAGAAGGAUGGCAGGGAAGAAUGAGAAAGGUAGCAUUGCAAAGGGACCUAGAAGCCACGUUAAGGAGUUUUGACUUUUAUUUUCAAGAAUGUAGGUAACCAGCAAAGGUUUUUAGAUUAUGAAAAAAAGCACGGUUAUAUCUUAACUUUAUAAGCUUACUUCUUGUAAAGUUCUUUAAAUGCUUAUGCUCCCAGAAAGGGCCGAGCUGCUCUGAGGUCAGUGCAGGCCUUGUGGAGACAGAGCACAACCAGGAUCAGCUGGAGCUGGCAGGUGCUGGCAGUGACCUUAGGAAGGUAGAUCUUGGUAAUGAUGACUGAGUUUGACUGGUUACAUUGGGCUGCCUGGCCAUGUCAGGUGGAACAAAUAAAUCAUUGAAUUCUUUAGCUCUGACCAGAUGUCUCAGAGUUAUUUCAUGUCAUUCUUAAAAUAACUUGUAAGUUAGGGAUUGUGGUCACUCCCAACCUUCAGCUGAGUCAAUAAGCACGAUGAGGGACUUGAACACAUAAUGUGUAGGUGCUAGCAGGUCCAUUUGGGCUCCUGCAUGCUCCAAGGCCCUUUUGCCAUAUUGCAGUUGUCUUCGGAAGGCAGAGAGAAGUGAGACCCAAGUUCCUCCUGCCUUGGUGGAGCAUUGCUUUGCAUAGCUGUGGAAAGCAGAGCGCCCAGCAAGCAUGCAUUUGCUCAGUGCUCAGAGAGGUCUCAUUCUCUGUCUCCAUUGUGCCUGGGGCCUGAGGGCUGAGCAGGUACUCUGUUGACCUGCCCCCCCAGGGUGGAGGGAGCUGUUGAGGCCUCUGGCAGGUUUGCAGGGGCACUAGGGGCUUCCUGCUUUCAUCACAAGGGAAAGGCUAGGUCAGCACAAAUUCUGCAGAAGCUGCUCCCUCCCAGGGCAGGCCUGAUGCUGCCCAGGGAGCUCGGCAGUACAGUUUGGCAACCUGGCCCCCUCUGGUGCUGCCUUUCUUUCUGACAAGAAAAAUAGAUUUCUUAACUGCUGGCUUGUGAGAACAAGUGGGUGGGUGGGGCUGUGGUGUAAUAGGGUAUAGCCCCAUCUGACCCUUCAUGGCUUCUUGCCACAUCGGGGCCUUGGUUCUUCGGAACUCUGAGGCAUCUACAACUUGUGAGUUCAGGACAGUGGGUCACCCUAGAGUUCCUGAGAUCCACAUUUUAAUUCUUUGAUUCUUCAGAUACUUCCAUUUACCCCUUAGCAUGUGUCAGCCACUUUAUAAUCAGGACCUGGUUUUAUCUCUAUAAUAAUCCGGAGAAGGUGCUAAUACCUUCAUUUUACAGGUGGAAAUCUGUGAUCUCCAUUGCCAUUCAUGUCCAUUUGAUGCCGUGUUUACUGCCACUCAGUGGGGACAGACAGACACUGCUCUGGACAUGUCACAAGCACCUGUGACAGAGCCCUCCUCACAGGCUGCUGCCAGCAGCAAGUUGGGAUAAUGGUCAUGAAUGCAUUUGGUAGACUAUAAAGUGCCGUGCUCUUCUAGAAACCAGCAUCCCAGCAGGAGUAAAGGCUCAGCACACUGCAAAAGUUGAGUAACACUGCCCCAUGUGGGCAGAAAGCUAAGACCACCAUACUUGGCAGCCCAGUGGUAGGUCCUCUCAGCUCUCCACAUGUACCUGGUGCUCCUAAGGUCAGACAGCGCAUACUGAUGCCCGGCUUUAAUUGCUUCCCAUCACCCACCACUGCAGAUAUAUUCCAGCUCUUUCUAGCCUGGGGCUGGAGGACACUUAGCAGAGCAAGGUCGGAUUCCUGUUAGCCCCUCAACCUGGGCUGGGCCAAGGGAGCAUUCUCAUCCUCUUGGUCCUGGAUCCCUGUUUGUCUAGAUUAACGCUCAAAGGCUGACAAGCACAAAUAGGUGGAGAAUGUUGGAUGGACUUCACCAAAUAGCUCUUAUAUUAAUUUAUAUUUGUGUUGAGCUCUCUCCUCCUGUUCCCUCAAAGGGCUCAGUCAAGAAUCUCUUACUGUGUUAUAUUUCAUUUAUUUAGUUGAUUAUCAAAGAGUAUGUAUGUUACAAAGUAUAUCAGAAAUCAGAGCUGAGGAAAGGAAGAUAGAUCAGAUAUGAGAAUCAAAAUGACACGUUUGUUUCACAUAUUAAUCACCUUGGUUUAAACAUUCCACAAAGUAUACAAAUAUCAAGACACCAUAUUUUGUACUACCCAUAUUACAGUUUUGUCAAUCAAAAGUAAAAAUAGGAUAAAGUAGUGUAGAAAAGGCUUAAACAUGUCCAAAGGACAAGUUUUGUUCUUUAACUCUUUUCUUUCAG